rnacentral:rRNA from 1 species
UACGGGGGGAGCAAGCGUUGUUCGGAUUUACUGGGCGUAAAGGGCUCGUAGGCGGCCUCCGCAAGUCAGUUGUGAAAUCUCCGAGCUUAACUCGGAAAGGUCAACUGAUACUGCGGGGCUAGAGUGCGGAAGGGGCAACUGGAAUUCUUGGUGUAGCGGUGAAAUGCGUAGAUAUCAAGAGGAACACCUGCGGCGAAGGCGGGUUGCUGGGCCGACACUGACGCUGAGGCGCGAAAGCUAGGGGAGCGAACGGG